rnacentral:rRNA from 1 species
CCUACGGGCGGCAGCAGUGGGGAAUAGUGGGCAAUGGGCGCAAGCCUGACCCAGCAACGCCGCGUGAAGGAAGAAGGCUUUCGGGUUGUAAAGUUCUGUGAAGAGGGAAGAGGAGAAGACGGGACCUCUGGAAGAAGCCACGGCUACCUCCGUGCCAGCAGCCGCGGUAAUACGUAGGUGGCAAGCGUUGUCCGGAGUUACUGGGUGUAAAGGGCGUGCAGCCGGGAAGACCAGUCAGAUGUGAAAUCCCGCGGCUCAACCGCGGAACUGCAUUUGAAACUGUUUUUCUUGAGUACCGGAGAGGUCAUCGGCAUUCCUUGUGUAGCGGUGACCUGCGUCGCUCUUAGGCAGAACACCAGUGGCGAAGGCGGCUCACUGGACGGCAACUGCCGGUGCGGCGC